rnacentral:rRNA from 1 species
UACGAGGGGGGCAAGCGUUGUUCGGAAUUAUUGGGCGUAAAGGGUGCGUAGGCGGUUCCGCAAGUCCUGUGUGAAAUCUUCGGGCUCAACUCGAAGUCUGCACGGGAAACUGUGGGGCUUGAGUGUGGGAGAGGUGAGUGGAAUUCCCGGUGUAGCGGUGAAAGUGCGUAGAUAUCAGGAGGAACACCAGUGGCGAAGGCGGUUCUCUGGGCCUUACCUGACGCUGAGGAGCGAAAGCGUGGGGAGCAAACAGG